rnacentral:rRNA from 1 species
AUGAACCCCUCCUCUGCCCCGGGUCCUGAUAGGUUGCCAGUGAUGUUUUUCAAAACGUUCUGGUAGACCAUCAAACCGGAAGUCAUGGCCCUCUUUGAUGAAUUCUACUCGAGGGCUAUGGACCUUGGGCGCCCAAACUAUGGGGUCAUCACACUCAUCCCCAAAGUUCCGGGCGCCUCUGACAUCCGCCAGUUUCGGCCUAUCACUGUGAUCAAUGUGAUAUUCCGGAUCUUGGCCAAGGGGUACGUCAAUAGGGUGACCCUUCUCGCUGACACCGUUACUCACCCCAGCCAAUCCGCCUUCAUCCAAGGGCGGUUUAUUCUGGAUGGGGUGUUA